UGAUCUAUAAUAACCUCACCAAAUCAUGCCUUUUAAGUUCAAUGAAUAUUUUGUACACAAGGUGAAGCUAAAAAUUCACAAUCAUCAAUAGCCAGUUACAUAGUAGUCAAACAAUAGCCUUUUAAGUUCAAUGAAUAUUUUGUACACAAGGUGAAGCUAAAAAUUCACAAUCAUCAAUAGCCAGUUACAUAAUAGUCAAACAAUAUCCUAUAUUUAAUUUUGUUAGUAACUUAGGAUUCUUUCUUUUAUGAUUUUAUAUGUUACAUAUCAUAUAAUACAUCAGGAAUCUGUUCUUCAAACAUGAAAAUUGAUUUUCAUCACAAAAAGAAUAGCUUGCAAAAAUUCUUUGUAGGGUCAUAGACAUACCAAAAAUUGAUUGUUUUGAUGGAGAUAAU
rnacentral:lncRNA from 1 species